UACAGAGGGUGCGAGCGUUAAUCGGAAUUACUGGGCGUAAAGGGCGCGUAGGCGGAUAUAUGAGUGUGAUGUGAAAGCCCCGGGCUUAACCUGGGAAGUGCAUCGCAAACGAUAUAACUGGAGUAUAUGAGAGGGUGGCGGAAUUUCCGGUGUAGCGGUGAAAUGCGUAGAGAUCGGAAGGAACGUCGAUGGCGAAGGCAGCCACCUGGCAUAAUACUGACGCUGAGAAGCGAAAGCAUGGGGAGCGAACAGG
rnacentral:rRNA from 1 species